rnacentral:lncRNA from 1 species
UUUUUUUUCUUUCUUUUACACUUUGUUUCUAAUAAAAAUGUUCUCUGCUCCAAACCUAUAUUUCCCAUGUCCAGCUAUGUUUAGAAAAUGACAUAGAUAAUUGUAUUUGAUAAUUUAUAAAGGAGAGUUGAGAAUAAUUCUUGCUCGUGUUUCCCUUCCUUAGAAACUGACCCAGAACUGUUCUUGGUCCUGAAAAGGGAGGACCAUAACCAAUCAGGUAUAUAAAAAAAAAUGUUGAUUGAUUGUAUAUUCUCUUUUAAGAACUCUCUGUUCAGAUCCUUGGCCCAUUUCUUGAUUGUGUUAUCAUCAUCAUCAUCAUCAUCAUCAUCAUCACUAUUAUUAUUAUUUGCUUAGUUUUUUGAGUUCUUUAUGUACCCUAGAGAUUAGUGCUCUAUCUGAUAUGUGGGGGUAAAAUAUUCCUCCUAAAAUGUAGGCUCUGUCUUCACCUCACAGAUUGUUUCUUUUGCUGAGAAUAAACUUUUUAGUUUGAUUCCAUCCCAUUUAUUGAUUAUUCGUUUUAAUUCUGGUGCUAUCAAUGUCUUAUUAAAGAAAUUGGGGCUUAAUCCCACAUGAUGAAGAUUAGAGCCUGUAUUUUAUUCCAUUGGACACAGAGUAUCUGGUUUAAUUCCUAGGUUCUUGAUACACUUGGAGUUGAGUUUUGUGCAUGGUGAGAGAUAGUGUUUUGUUG